rnacentral:rRNA from 1 species
UACGUAGGGUGCAAGCGUUGUCCGGAAUUAUUGGGCGUAAAGAGCUCGUAGGCGGCUUGUUGCGUCGACCGUGAAAACCCGCGGCUCAACUGCGGGCUUGCGGUCGAUACGGGCAGGCUGGAGUUCGGUAGGGGAGACUGGAAUUCCUGGUGUAGCGGUGAAAUGCGCAGAUAUCAGGAGGAACACCGGUGGCGAAGGCGGGUCUCUGGGCCGAUACUGACGCUGAGGAGCGAAAGCGUGGGGAGCGAACAGG